rnacentral:rRNA from 1 species
AUUGAACGCUGGCGGCAGGCCUAACACAUGCAAGUCGAACGGUAACAGGAAGAAGCUUGCUUCUUUGCUGACGAGUGGCGGACGGGUGAGUAAUGUCUGGGAAACUGCCUGAUGGAGGGGGAUAACUACUGGAAACGGUAGCUAAUACCGCAUAACGUCGCAAGACCAAAGAGGGGGACCUUCGGGCCUCUUGCCAUCGGAUGUGCCCAGAUGGGAUUAGCUUGUUGGUGGAGUAACGGCUCACCAAGGCGACGAUCCCUAGCUGGUCUGAGAGGAUGACCAGCCACACUGGAACUGAGACACGGUCCAGACUCCUACGGGAGGCAGCAGUGGGGAAUAUUGCACAAUGGGCGCAAGCCUGAUGCAGCCAUGCCGCGUGUAUGAAGAAGGCCUUCGGGUUGUAAAGUACUUUCAGCGGGGAGGAAGGGAGUAAAGUUAAUACCUUUGCUCAUUGACGUUACCCGCAGAAGAAGCACCGGCUAACUCCGUG